UCUAUAAUAAGGGUGAUCUUCUGAGGAGGGUAUAAACUCACUCCGAGUAUGUCAUGAACAGAAAUUUAUUUCUGUCCCCAGCUGGUGAUCACCUUACACCCUGAAGUAAGACUUAACAUGCAAUGGCCCUUUCACACUUGGGGUGGUCUGUUGUGUAAACAAAUAAAAUAUCAUCUAUUUAAAGGCCAGCCACUCGUGAUAUGACAUGCAGGGUUUUUGCAGUGCAGUUUGGCUGCAAUAUUUUCCUUCAUGUGGUCAUUCUUCUACCAAGCAUGAGGAUUCUUAUAUUGUUCCCUACUUUACACAACACUCAUCCUCAGGGCCUGAAGUAAUGGUGGCUAUGGGUAUGUCUACACUGCAAUGAAAGCUGGACUGGGUCAGUGGACUUGGGCUCAUGGGGCUUGGGCUCCAGGGCUAAAAACUUGAUUGUAGACUCAAUGCCACAGUUGAGGGGUUCUUUCUUUCUUUCUUUCUUUCUUUCUUUCUUUCUUUCUUUCUUUCUUUCUUUAUUUCUGCAGUGUAGAUAUACCCUAAAGGCCUGAUCGAAGCCCAUUGAAGUCUCAGGGUUAAAGUCUCUACCUGAAGAAUACUCCCUUUGUAGGCAUUUAUCUUUCCCUUUGCAAGGGUCAUAGAAAUAUCCUCUCUCAAAUUAAAGGCCAAAUCCUGUGCUUAUUUACAUUAGUGUCAAUCCAGAUUAAUUCCUGUGACUCAAUGGAGUUUUUCUGAAUUUACACUGAUGUCAGUGAAAGCAAGAUUUGGCCCUACAUACACUGUUCUACCCAGGUAAAAUGGGUUGAGACCAAAACAGAAUUUCAGCCUUUUUUGCUGAAUUUCUUUCCCUUUGUGGUUUUGCCUGAUCAGUGCUUUACUGAAAUAAAGUACUUUUUAUAACAUUUCUAUGUCUUCUCUCUAAAGCAAGAAAACUGGUGAUUAGCACAGUUGAUUACAUACUGUAUUAAAAGCCACAUAUUACAUUAACACCUGUAAAUUACAAAGAAAUUCACUGUUUGCAGUGUGGUAAAAUGCCUUAUUAAAACCACAAAUAUUAAAAUUCUUCAUCUAUGCACCUUAGCUCCCCAUCUUUCUUACUUCUAUUAGUUUUUCCAUUGCUCGUUCAGACUGGCAUGUGAUGAAGUAGACACAUGCUGUAAUUUAUGUUACUCUGUGGGAAGCAGAGAAACUUUUCUGUUUAUUUUAGAACAAGGUAAUCAGUUUUUUUAAAAAUAUUUCUCUUUUUUAGAGGCUGUUAAAGCUAAAUGAUGGGGAAAAUAGGUGUCUUGGGAUUUGCAACAAGAGCAGCGUUCACCUUGAGUACAUAUUUGAUGUCCACAAACAUGCCAGCUGCAUGACACAUCACAAUUUCUGACUUUACAGCAUCUUGAAGUUGCAGCCAAGUGACCGUGCCACUGAGAUCAUCACACUCACAAAGAAGCAUUUUGAUUGCAACCAGAAAACAUCUCUAAGAAAAAGGCAAAGAAUAGCACUGUACAGGCUAUCUGCAUGGAAGGACAUUCUGAUGCCAAGAGGGAAACUUUUCCACUGGGAGGGCAGCAGCGGCACCAAAGAGAUAGCAAAGGAAGACUCUGGAGGACUCUGGAGGACCUGUUUGUUGGCAGAGAGAGAAGAAGUCAGCAGCAGAUGUACUUACAGCAAGGGAGGAGCAGGCUCUUAGGCAGGAUAAGGAAUUUCUGGAAAUGGAGAGACAGCACAAGCAAUGGGAGUGUGCACAGAGGGAACAGGAUCAUGGACUUAUGCAAUCCCUGGUAGAACAUUUUCAGGGUCUGCCUGCUGCUGUGGCCAUUGCUCCUCUAUGGGAACAUGCAACACUUCCUCCUUCUCCAGGGGCCUUCACAGACUGCUGCUGAAGUAGUGAAUCCCACAUUCCCCCUUACUAGGGAGGAGCAUGCUAGGUGCCAGACACCACUUUCUCCAAAGUCCCUCUCAGGGAACCCCCAGAGCAUUCAGGAGCCUGAUGAGCCUGAUCUAGUCCCAGUAACAUGGUCUGUAUUCAGCCCCUAAACACCACACAGGACAAGUUCACAUUUUUUCCCUGCACACUAUUCCACAGCCGUUCCCCCUCCAUCAGGGUGAGAGGGAGGGGAAGGACACAGAAACU